GCCAAGUUCACCAGUCUAGAGAUUCUACCCCAUAUGUUUUUUUUUCAAUUUGCCUAUCUCUAAUCCUCUGGGGGUUUCACUGUGGUUUUUCAAACAUUAUUGAAAGUGUUUCACCAAUAAUUUAUACUAAUAUUUUCUUUCCCUGGGAUAUAGAAUUCAAUGGCACACAACUAGCUGCUUGCUUACCAUCUCCUAGAAAAUGUCAGGAUCCCCUACUCUAUAGAGACUCAGGAUGGUUUGGAAUCCCCGAAGAGCUCCUCCAGCCCUUUAACCUCAGUGACUCAAGAGCACAGAGGAAAGAGAACAAAAAAGAAAAUCUUAAACUUAUCAACAUUUCAAAGCUGGCAGUUAAAGGUCAAGAUCAAAAUCCAUCUCCUGCAUGAAGCCGUCCUGGGUUCCUCCGAACAGGAAUGAUCUUUUUCUCCAUUGAACGACUUUAAAGAUCCUCUAUGCCACUCAUCACAAAGUUCCUUAGAGUAUAGUAAUAAAUUGCUUAUGUUGUUGAAUU
rnacentral:lncRNA from 1 species